ACUGGCAGGAAAGUUGUUUACUGAAACUAAAACAGGGAGGCACAAAGGAUAAGGAAGUUAGUUUGGCUUUGGAAGUAGGGAACAAAGAACAAGGACACUGAACAAGCUAAAUCUUUGAAGAGGAACUUCUUUUGUAUCUGACAAAGGUCUUCAAGGAAGAAGGGAGAGAGUGACCUUUCUAGGUUUUAUGGUUGAUGCUGGGGGAGAGGAGUUCUAGUUUCUAAGAUUUACCUUGAGGAAGAAGAACUGUAGUUUCUGUGGCGUGCAGACAAGCAAAGCAAAGCUGAUAAGCAUCAUUAGCAUCCAUUUUAAAUUUAAGCAAACUGAACUCCAAGAGGUUAAGAAACUUGCUCCAGGUGACACAGCUGCUCAACAAAGCUUCAGAAUAUCAGAGGGGGUCG